rnacentral:rRNA from 1 species
CUUGACUAAUUAUAAGAGGUUUAGCCUGCCCAGUGACACAUGUUCAACGGCCGCGGUAUCCUAACCGUGCGAAGGUAGCGUAAUCACUUGUUCUUUAAAUGAGGACUAGUAUGAACGGCACCACGAAGGUUAUACUGUCUCCUUUCUCUAAUCAGUAAAACUAAUCUCCCCGUGAAGAAGCGAGGAUAAAUUUAUAAGACGAGAAGACCCUAUGGAGCUUUAAACUAACCAGCAUUUGCUAUAUACAAAAUUUUUAACAACUUUAAAGAUAAUCUAGCCCUCUGACUGGUAAUUUUCGAUUGGGGUGAUCACGGAAUAAAAUAUAACCUCCGUGUCGAAAGGGCUUACCUGAGCAAAAAGCGACAGCUUUCCGCACUAAAAAAUUAACGUUUAUUGACCCAAUAUUUUGAUCAACGAACCAAGUUACCCUAGGGAUAACAGCGCAAUCUACUUCAAGAGUCCCUAUCGACAAGUAGGUUUACGACCUCGAUGUUGGAUCAGGGU